rnacentral:rRNA from 1 species
CCUACGGGAGGCAGCAGUAGGGAAUAUUGCUCAAUGGGGGAAACCCUGAUGCAGCGACGCCGCGUGGGUGAAGGAGCGUUUCGGCGCGUAAAGCCCUAUCGGCAGGGAAGAAGAUGACGGUACCUGACCAAGAAGCCCCGGCUAACUACGUGCCAGCAGCCGCGGUAAUACGUAGGGGGCAAGCGUUAUCCGGAUGUACUGGGUGUAAAGGGGGCGCAGACGGCAAUGCAAGCCAGGAGUGAAAGCCCGGGGCCCAACCCCGGGACUGCGCUUGGAACUGCAUGGCUGGAGUACAGGAGGGGCAGGCGGAAUUCCUAGGGUAGCGGUGAAAUGCGUAGAUAUUAGGAGGAACACCGGUGGCGAAGGCGGCUUACUGGACUGUAACUGACGUUGAGGCUCGAAAGCGUGGGGAGCAAACAGGAUUAGAUACCCUUGUAGUC